GCUCUACAUGGCAGAACUCCUGCGCAUCGGCGCGGCAGACUGUCAUGGGGCUGCCUUUUCAUUGUCCCUCCCGUGCUCUACAUGGGAGGGAAGUGGUUAGUCGGCUUUGUCUGUGCGGUUCUAUCCAAGUUGGGAAACAAGAUCGGUCCCAUGAUGGGUGUUUUUUGCUUGCCCUGUUGAUAAUUUUAUUGUUUCCAGGGCAGCCGAAUUGUUGGCGAAACCCUUGUGCAUCCCAUGGCAUUUGUUUUGCUGUGGCACUGCGUGCGGGUGUUGUCGGCUCUUGCGGAUGCUGUGUCCACGGUAAGUUCUGUAGGCCAUUGGUCCACAGGCUUUGAAAGGUCCCACGUACAGAUCAUUGGUCUGUCGAUUGCCUGUCAUGUUGGUUCUGCCUUCAUUUCGGAGCGUUGUGUGGGUUGCCUGUCUGUCCUAAUGAGCAGCGAUUGUCGGCUAGUGUUGUGAGAUGGACCUCCCCUUCGGGGGGGUUCCGGAAACAAUGCGCCGACUCUCGUUUAAGACGUGC
rnacentral:misc_RNA from 1 species